rnacentral:rRNA from 1 species
GCUCAGAAACUUAAAGGAAUUGACGGGGCCCGCACAAGCGGAGGAGCAUGUGGUUUAAUUCGAUGAUACGCGAGGAACCUUACCUGGGCUCGAACGUAAGAUGACUGUAGGUGAAAGCUUACAUCUCUUCGGAGCAUUUUACGAGGUGCUGCAUGGUUGUCGUCAGCUCGUGCCGUGAGGUGUCGGGUUAAGUCCCAUAACGAGCGCAACCCCUACCUUUAGUUGCCAUCAGGUUAAGCUGGGGACUCUAAAGGAACUGCCUACGCAAGUAGUGAGGAAGCGGGGAUGACGUCAAAUCAGCACGGCCCUUACGUCCAGGGCUACACACGUGCUACAAUGGCCGAUACAGAGGGCAGCUACCUGGUGACAGGAUGCAAAUCUCCAAAGUCGGUCUCAGUUCGGAUCGGAGUCUGCAACCCGACUCCGUGAAGUUGGAUUCGCUAGUAAUCGCGCAUCAGCCAUGGCGCGGUGAAUACGUUCCCGGGCCUU